GGAUCCUGUGCUAGAAUUCUUAACGCCCUGGUGAGAGGUUUUAGCCACAGCACCUCUGAGGGGCUCCUUUCCAAUUUCCUCUAAAUUUUCCCUGUCUUUCUUACUUCAUUCCUACUUGGUACAUGGAGUUCUUACUUUGGUGGGAGGAAGAAUCUAAUGAUUUUCUGUCUUCCUCUCUGUUUACAUUUAUUAUAACGUGGAGACUUACUGUGGUGGCCAUUUUAGAGACGAUUGGCUUGUUUGUCUGGUGAACAUAGGUUGGGGCAUUUUGUUAGGGGCAAAAACUAUGAAACAAAUCAUUAGCCGUGUGUGCUGUGGAUUCCUUCCUACAGAAUGAAAUAUAAAUGUGUUAUAAUAAUAUAGAAUACGUGGCCCUAUCACUUUAACAAGAAGCAGAGAUCUCCCGCUGUUUGGAAGCCAGGACAAAGUUCUGUGAGCGCAUGCUUUUCCCUCGGGCGGUCUGGGACCUUUGUGCAUAGAAUCCCGUGGAUUGCUGCACGAUGGGAGGAGGAUUGUUCCGUACUGCAUAAAUUGUCCAACCAGAAGAUUUGGCCUUAGAAGGGAGACUCUGCAAAACACAUUUUUGGUGCCACCUUUUGUACUCACCAUAUUAGAUGUCCGUACACAGCCCCCUCCAUGUCUGUGUCACGUCCACCGGCCGCUAGAGUUAUAGGAGGAUCCGAGGACACCUAGUGGCUGAAAAUGAUCACACAUUAAUGUUUCACACAACUAUAUGCAAUCGUGCCGGUCACAGAGUGGCUAAGAAAGUGGCAGAGAUGAGAGAUCCUGUCUUGAAGUCGGAGGCAAGGGCUGAGACUGGAGCAGAGAAAAGGUGCAGAAGUGGACGAUGUGUGUGGCGAGAGCAGGCUGUUAGAUUUGAAGGGGCCCGAGUGUUCCAAACAGGAGAAGCUCUAUGGGACUGAAGUGGCAGGAGUCCUUCCCUGUGGAGUCAGUGGCCUUUAAGGACAUGGCUGUGAACUUCACCUGGGGGAGUGGACUAUGUCAGAUCCAAACCAAAAGGAGCUUUAUCAAGAUCUUCUGUGGGAAACCUUGAGGAACCCGGUCUCCAUAGUAAACAGAUGAUUAUUGUCUUAACUAAAGAACAAGUGCUUCUGGCUCAUCAGUGCCGCUGCAUGGACUGAAAUAUGCCAAUUGGAAGAGAAAUCAUGUGGAUGUAAAGAAAGUCAUCAGUGUGCAAAAUCUCCAACUGCAUCUCAAAGCAGUUGUAAAUCUACACAGAAAUAUCCAUAAGUGAAAAUGGAGUGUAUGAAGAAAUAUCUCUAAGUGUGUUCUCAAAGCUCUCCCAGGAUACAAACCAUGUGAAGACGAAGAAUAUGGAAAGAAACCAUAUAAGCAUAAAGAGUUUGAGAAUAUCUCCAGUUCCCCUAUGUCCUUUCUGAAGCAUAAAGGGACUCAUACUGGAGAGAAUUCUUCUAAAAUAAUUACUGUGAUGAGAUACUUUUAUAUUUCAGAUAUGGUCAACAUCAUGAAAGAACCUUCAUUAGAGAAAAAAAGGCCAUGAGUAUAAGCAAUGUGACAAAGUUUUCAUUUCAUUCCUUUCAAAGGCAUGAGGAAUGUCACAGUCAGUAGAAAUUCUAUGUAAGUAAACUAUGUGAGAACACCUUCAUUCUUUCCACUAUUCUAAAAAAACAUGAAAGAAUUUACACUGGUGAGAAGCCCUAUGUAUGUAAGGUAUGUGAGAAAGCCUUCUUGCUUCUGAAGCAAUUACAAAGACAUGAAGUAAUUCCUAGUGGCAAGAAUCCUGGGCCAGACGUGGUGGCACACACGUUUAAUCCCAGCACUCAGGAGGCAAAGGCAGCUGAUCGCUGCUCCUCUAUCAGUUGCAGGCUUCUCCUUCUCAUAGCAGUUGCAGCUGUCGAGUCUCCUGUUCUGCCAUACUUGUAUCACAGGGCUGCUCCCUCUUUCCUGCCUCUCCAUCACAUAUUCUUUCAUCAUAAUAACAUUGGUGUAAGCCCCUCAAGCCUCUUGAGUGCCCAGGCCUCUCCCCCAAGGAUCCCUAACUGCCAGGUUUCACCCACAGAAUACUCUGUCUGCUCUAACUGAUGGACCCUGCACCUACCCUACCGAGUAAAAAGCCCAAUCUCUUGAAAUCCCACCAAUCUCUACCCUGGAAAGCUCCACCCUGAAAAGUUCCAUCCCCUUCUCAAGAAUCUCCAUAUGAGCCCUGUAUCCUGCCCAGUUUGCUGCAUUUUCCCACCCUGUCUGAGGCAGCCACUCUCCUGGAUCCCUUUCUCCCAAUAAACCUCUUAGUGAGGUUUGGGUGAUGAUCUUCGCUGGAGUGGAGUGAGGCAGAGAAGUAACAAUUUUUGAAGGAGCAGCAGCAGAACUGUUACAUUUCUGUGGAUAAACUCCCUUAGCAGAGCAGAGCAGAGCUGUAAUGACCCUCUCAGAGAGGAGCAGAACUGCUACGCUCCUGUGGGGAAACCAUCCCCAAAGGAACAGAGCUUUAGAUAGCGCCUGGCUUCCCGUGCUAGGAUAUCCUCCCCGCUAGAGUUGUAACACCUACAGUUGAAAGCUGUGGUGUGUCAUGCAGUGUACCCUUUGCCCAAACAGUAGUCAUUACCAUGAGUUGCUGGUCUAAUUCAGGAACUCUGACUUCUGACACAACAUCAAUACUGGACCCUCACCAAGACUUCUCUCAGAUAUCCUGAUGUUACCCGGAGUCAUGAGGUCCUGUGGCUACGGUUCUGCAGGACUGGCCCCUUCACAUGUUCCAGUAGCUCAUAGAUGGGGUAGAUGUUGGGGUACAUCAACUCAAAGCCCUGGAUCUGGGUGGUAGCUGAGUUGGUCAACCUGGGUCUUUACCACCCCAACCCAUAAGGGGUGAGGCCAGCUCUCCUACUCUGAUGAGGGAUUGGGCCAGCUCCCCCUUUGCCUGCAAGGGGUGGGGACAGAUCUCCAUCACCUACAUCACUGAGGGAUGGAGCCAGGCAAUGGUGGCUGGCAAGGGACAGGGUAAGAGGACUUUUUCCAUGUGGUUUGACAAGAAAAAUAUUUCACCCUGGAACUGUAGUUACAGACAGCUGUGAGCUGCCAUGUGAGUGCUAGGAAUUGAACGCAGGUCCUCUGAUAGCUCAGUCAGUGCUAUUAACUACUGAGCCAUCUCUC